AUAAAUGCUCUUGUGUGGUGUAAAACGUUAAGGUAUUGCUUUAUGAGCUUUGAAUCAGUUUUGAAAAGAAUGCAUUUUAUUAAUUUUGAGUGAGUCCAAAUUUCACCCUUACCUAAUCUCUAAAAAGAACAGUGUGAAAACAAAUUUGUGGUUCAGAUAACAUACAACUUCUUGUUGGCAAUGGAACAAAGGAAGUGAAGCUUCCUGUCACCGAAGUAUAACAUCUCUCCCACUCACUUCGAGGUCAAAACCAAGCCUUAAGUGGGAAUAUCGGUCAUAUUGGACAACACUGUGCGGUGUGGUAACACACACCCUGACUGCUGCAAAUGGCAGGUCUCAGCAGUCUCAAGCUCCUGCUGCUAUGGGCUGGGAUCAUCAGUUUGGGCAGCUCUGCCUGGACUCUAGAGUGUGAGUAUCAAUUUGACUUUUUUAUAUAUAAUUUGUUACAUCCAGUAUCUGUAUUCUCACAUUUUACCAAGUAUAGUCAAUUUACCCAGUGAUGGUUUGGAGUAUUUGUAUUUUAUCCUGUCUCAGCACACAGAAGUAUGUUCAAUACAACGAGCCCUAUGCCUGGUAAAUACAGCAUGUACGUUUUCAGACCUGGGAAAUACUGCAUUACUUUUAUCAGUGUUUCAGUUUUUCACAUGGAAUCACACACCUGAGGUUUUGUACUGACAAUGAGCAUAAUGUCACAUUUAUUGAUACUGUUGAAGAAACAUGUGACUCUGGUGGAGAUAAAACUUUCAUAAUGAAUGAACUGGGCACAGAAAGAAAAUCUAUGUAUUGUCUUAACUGAGUCAACAUCAUGCUGGUAAAACACUGUCACAAAUCUUAUGACUGUGUUUUUAUAUUCAAA